rnacentral:rRNA from 1 species
GAGCGGCGGACGGGUGAGUAAUGUCUGGGAAACUGCCUGAUGGAGGGGGAUAACUACUGGAAACGGUAGCUAAUACCGCAUAACGUCUACGGACCAAAGUGGGGGACCUUCGGGCCUCAUGCCAUCAGAUGUGCCCAGAUGGGAUUAGCUAGUAGGUGGGGUAAUGGCUCACCUAGGCGACGAUCCCUAGCUGGUCUGAGAGGAUGACCAGCCACACUGGAACUGAGACACGGUCCAGACUCCUACGGGAGGCAGCAGUGGGGAAUAUUGCACAAUGGGCGCAAGCCUGAUGCAGCCAUGCCGCGUGUGUGAAGAAGGCCUUCGGGUUGUAAAGCACUUUCAGCGAGGAGGAAGGGUUCAGUGUUAAUAGCACUGUUCAUUGACGUUACUCGCAGAAGAAGCACCGGCUAACUCCGUGCCAGCAGCCGCGGUAAUACGGAGGGUGCAAGCGUUAAUCGGAAUUACUGGGCGUAAAGCGCACGCAGGCGGUUUGUUAAGUCAGAUGUGAAAUCCCCGCGCUUAACGUGGGAACUGCAUUUGA